rnacentral:rRNA from 1 species
UACAGAGACUGCAAGCGUUAAUCGGAAUUACUGGGCGUAAAGGGUGCGUAGGCGGUUCGUUAAGUCUGUUGUGAAAUCCCCGGGCUCAACCUGGGAAUGGCAAUGGAUACUGGCGAGCUAGAGUGUGUCAGAGGAUGGUGGAAUUCCCGGUGUAGCGGUGAAAUGCGUAGAGAUCGGGAGGAACAUCAGUGGCGAAGGCGGCCAUCUGGGACAACACUGACGCUGAAGCACGAAAGCGUGGGGAGCAAACAGG